GACCUUUCCGGUAGGCUAGUUGUUAGAGCGUCCGUCUCAGAUACGGGAGGUUGUGGGUUCGAUUCCCCGCCGAAUCA